rnacentral:rRNA from 1 species
GCUUAACGCGAAGAACCUUACCUGGCCUUGACAUGUCUGGAAUCCCGAAGAGAUUUGGGAGUGCCGCAAGGAACCAGAACACAGGUGCUGCAUGGCUGUCGUCAGCUCGUGUCGUGAGAUGUUGGGUUAAGUCCCGCAACGAGCGCAACCCUUGUCCUUAGUUGCCAUCAUUCAGUUGGGAACUCUAAGGAGACCGCCGGUGACAAACCGGAGGAAGGUGGGGAUGACGUCAAGUCAUCAUGGCCUUUAUGGCCAGGGCUACACACGUGCUACAAUGGCAGGUACAGAGAGAGGCCAACUCGCGAGAGGGAGCCAAUCCCAGAAAGCCUGUCUUAGUCCGGAUUGGAGUCUGCAACUCGACUCCAUGAAGCUGGAAUCGCUAGUAAUCGCAGAUCAG